rnacentral:rRNA from 1 species
GGGUUGUGAGGUUAAGCGACUAAGCGUACACGGUGGAUGCCCUGGCAGUCAGAGGCGAUGAAGGACGUGCUAAUCUGCGAUAAGCGUCGGUAAGGUGAUAUGAACCGUUAUAACCGGCGAUUUCCGAAUGGGGAAACCCAGUGUGUUUCGACACACUAUCAUUAACUGAAUCCAUAGGUUAAUGAGGCGAACCGGGGGAACUGAAACAUCUAAGUACCCCGAGGAAAAGAAAUCAACCGAGAUUCCCCCAGUAGCGGCGAGCGAACGGGGAGCAGCCCAGAGCCUGAAUCAGUGUGUGUGUUAGUGGAAGCGUCUGGAAAGGCGCGCGAUACAGGGUGACAGCCCCGUACACAAAAAUGCACAUACUGUGAGCUCGAUGAGUAGGGCGGGACACGUGGUAUCCUGUCUGAAUAUGGGGGGACCAUCCUCCAAGGCUAAAUACUCCUGACUGACCGAUAGUGAACCAGUACCGUGAGGGAAAGGCGAAAAGAACCCCGGCGAGGGGAGUGAAAAAGAACCUGAAACCGUGUACGUACAAGCAGUGGGAGCACGCUUCGGCGUGUGACUGCGUACCUUUUGUAUAAUGGGUCAGCGACUUAUAUUCUGUAGCAAGGUUAACCGAAUAGGGGAGCCGAAGGGAAACCGAGUCUUAACUGGGCGUUAAGUUGCAGGGUAUAGACCCGAAACCCGGUGAUCUAGCCAUGGGCAGGUUGAAGGUUGGGUAACACUAACUGGAGGACCGAACCGACUAAUGUUGAAAAAUUAGCGGAUGACUUGUGGCUGGGGGUGAAAGGCCAAUCAAACCGGGAGAUAGCUGGUUCUCCCCGAAAGCUAUUUAGGUAGCGCCUCGUGAAUUCAUCUCCGGGGGUAGAGCAC